ensembl:lncRNA
GUGUUACGGUACAGAGUCAAUGUGGAGACCAUAUACAGGGGGUUACGGUACAGAGUCAAUGUGGAGGCUAUAUACAGGGGGUACCGGUACUAUGUCAAAGUGGAGGCUAUAUACAGGGGGUACCAGUACUAUGUCAAUGUGGAGUCUAUAUACAGGGAGUACCGGUACAGAGUCAAUGUGGAGGUUAUAUACAGGGGGUACCGGUACAGAGUCAAUGUGGAGGUUAUAUACAGGGGUACCGGUACAGAGUCAAUGUGGAGGCUAUAUACAGGGGGUACCGGUACUAUGUCAAUGUGGAGGCUAUAUACAGGGGGUACCAGUACAGAGUCAAUGUGGAGGCUAUAUACAGGGGGUAACGGUACAGAGUCAAUGUGGGGACUAUAUACAGGGGGGUACCGGUACAGAGUCAAUGUGGAGACUACAGUAUCAUGCCAGGUUUCAUGUGGACCCCAGGAAGAGUAGCUGACGCUUUGGCAGCGGCCAAUGGGGAUCCUAAUAAAUACCAAAAUACCAAUCAGAUGAGGGAGUGUCAUGACAGUCACAAUGUCACGACUUCUGCCGAAGUUGGUCCCUCUCCUUGUUCGGGCGGCGUUCGGCGGUCGACGCCAUCGGUCUUCUAGCCAUCGCCGCUCCACCUUUCAUUUUCCAUUUGUUUUGUCUUGUUUCCCCGCACUCCUGGUUCGCAUUCCCCCAUCAGACUAAAUGUAUAUUACCCUCUGUUUCCCCCAUGUCUGUGUGUGGAAUUGUUCUUUGUGCAGGGUGUUAUGCUACAGGCUGUCUUGC